rnacentral:misc_RNA from 1 species
GAUGUGUUGUACCAACAAACAACUGUCAUUAAAGCCCGCCUGGGCACCAAGUGACUUGAUAAACAUUCAAACUUACAUUGUGACAAGUUAAGGCCCAACAAAUCCCCAAAAAAUCACAGGUUCAGUGCCUGUGGCAUCUUCAAGCCAAAUAACGAUACAACUUCCUAUCUGUUUUAUCCCUCUCCAAGAAUUCACGCUCAAUCAAAGACUCAAUUCGUUUCUUUAUGACAACUGGGUUUGGCAGGAAUCGAGACUGUAGCUGCUUUGUUACUUCAGCAACUAUAUUGUUGUGAUCUAGCACCCUCCGAGAUUUCAUGAUUCUGACAAUUGCUGCCUCUAUCUGUGGCUUUCGGUCCUCCUCCACUCUCUGCCUAGUCUCCUGUUUCUCAGGUUCUGACUCCUUUUGUGCAACAACAGUACCUAUCUUCACCUUGUAGAACUUGCUCGAGAAUUUAUCGUUGAAGUAAAAGGCAUCAUCUUCAGCAAUAUCCUUGCUCAUUGGUUCCUUCCUCAAAACAUUCUUCCCCUUGACACAAGCGAGAGAUUGUAAGCACCUCUUUAAGUCUGAAGCUGGUAUUUCUGUAGCCUGUUCAAUUUCUUUGUAACUCAUUCGAUCCGAUUUGUUGAACAACAUAAGGAUGCACAUCUGAUAAGUGGAAACAUUAAGCUCGUGCUUUUGUCCCUUCCCAAAUGUAGCUUUCAGAUCAGCAGUCCCCAUAUUUGUCUGCCAUGACAACCUCCUACCCGUAUGGGUCCCCAGAUAGUAUGUCUUGAACCUAUCACAGACCCCUAAGAUUUCCGAAGGAAGAUUGCAAGUAUUAACAGAUUGUGUUGGCCAGGACCCAGUAGUAAGAACCUGGACAGUAAGUGAAGGACCCUCUGCAAGAUCAGCACCCACAGCAGCAUGAAAACCCUGCAUUGUAUCCUGUGAGGUCUUCAUAUCAGUAAACAUGCCUUCCAGUUUUGAGGUGAACUGGUACCCGCAUUCUGUUUUAAGCUUAACUAUCAAACUUCUUUCUGCGUCAUCAGAUACCGUCUUCCCUGAGAGUAGCCUCUUUGCCAAGUGCUGCUUGUAGUACUUCUCAAACACAUCUUUCUCCUGAAGGUAGCGGAAGAGCAUCAUCACUUUGUCUAAUAUGAUCUCUACAUCCUCCUCAGUAACCCCUUUCAGCCCUUUCCGAAGUUUGUCAUCCACAAACAAAGAGAUGAACUCUGGUGAUCGUGGAUUCAGAUUAAUGAAGAACUCAAAUGAGGAAUUGAGAGCAUUCUGGAAUGUUUUGUCAUUGUUAAAUGCUGAACUAAUGAUCUUAUCAUGCUUAUCCUUCUCAUCCAAAAGCCUCUGCACAAAGUCUACAGGAUCCUUCAACUUUUCUGGAUCAGUGACAAGCUGCUUCCCAAUUUCUCUAAUAUGAGAAGUCAUGACAUCUCUAAUCAGUGCAAGCCCAGUUGACACUCUUCGCAACAAGUUGUACAUCCUUCCUAAAUCUUCGUACUUGUCAUUUACGAUCAUAUUCACUAAGCCCGAGUUCUCCAUAUGAACCAGCCUGUGCAUAUGGCUUUCAAUCAUCUGUUUCUCCACGACAUUAGUAAGUUUGGGUUCACUUUUUGUAUCUAAAUAGUGGGACACUCUUUCAAUCUCUUCCAUGAGACGUUUCUCAGCUUUCUUCAGAUAAUCCCCACAAUCACAGCACUCAAUGUAUUGCUGAGACUCAAGUCGAUAGAAAUCAGCCGAGACAUCAAGAAACGGUUUUUCAAAGUCUUCUUGGUAUACUGAAGACCCUAAAUCCAUUAGCAUUUGUAUUACGUUCCUCAUCAAACCCCUGUUUAUCACUUCACCAGUCCUCUCACGCUGAACUAGUUCAAGAAGUGUGUCCUGAAGCCUUUUGUGUAUUUUGCUAGAGUGGAUGAUGUUGUCUCUCCAUAAAUUCAAACCAAGCUCAUGAACAGGUGUUUUGUGAGUACUAGGAAUGAAAGUUCUAUCCAUAUACAUCAAUAUAUCUCGAAUCAUUUGCAGUGCCUUGUUAUGCUCUGCCCAUAUCCGAUUCAGUUCUUCAAGAAACAACCCUCCCUGUGUAGAUUCAAUAUGUUUUGCAAUUUCCUUCAAAUGUGCUGUCAUAGUUGAGACAAGUCCUGAAUAGAGCUUCUCCCCAAAUUUGUGUAGUACCAUGUUAUAUGCAUUUCUGUAGAGCUCUUCAAAACUUAAACCACUAGCGUUAUGAUUGUAAAUCUCAUGAAUCGCAUGUUCAAGGAUCUUCCAAGUUUUUUCAGCAUACUUCGGAUCCACAACAACCCGAUGCUUAAAUGCCUCUAUCUGGAAAUUUUUUUUCUUCGGUGCACUCAUUUUUCUGAAUUUCCGAAGUCACACGCUGCCUGAAUAUUCCAACUUCCACAAUCUAAACUUACUAAACCCGUCAAUAACCCGAAAUCGACCGAUCAGGUUUUUAAUCACCGAUCUAAUAAUUAGGGAUUUAGGGUUUCUCGGAGAGCCAUUUUUGGUCGGUUGAAACUUUGAGCGUUUUCU